GCAAGUGAUGAUUGUAAUUAUUCUUCACUUUGACCUGACUAUCAGUGAUGAUAAACUUCAACCUGAGC
ensembl:snoRNA